rnacentral:rRNA from 1 species
GUGCACCAGUCGCGAAAACUUCACACUGUGCGAAAGCACGAUGAGGGAAUCCCAAGUGCUUGCACGUAAGUGUAAGCUGUUUCUCUGUUUAAAACGCAGGGAGAGUAAGGGCUGGGUAAGACGGGUGCCAGCCGCCGCGGUAAUACCUGCAGCUCAAGUGGUGACCGUUAUUAUUGGGCCUAAAACGUCCGUAGCCGGUUUAAUAAAUGCCUGGGUAAAUCGUGUAGCUUAACUAUACGAAUUCCGGGUAGACUGUUAAACUCGAGACCGGGAGAAGUUAGAGGUACUCCUGGGGUAGAGGUGAAAUUCUGUAAUCCUAGGGGGACCACCAGUGGCGAAGGCGUCUAACUAGAACGGGUCUGACGGUGAGGGACGAAGCCCUGGGGCGCAAAC